GAGCAAGGUACGUUUUAUUACUCUGUUUUCUGGGAAUAAUUGACGCAAGCAGAAACCAGAAAACAAGCCAGCCCUGCAUUGCGCAUCUGUUGACCUUUAUCCAUUUACAGUAAACAGAUAUUUUUUUCUUGCUGGAAGAUA